AACGAACGCUGGCGGCAUGCCUAACACAUGCAAGUCGAACGAGACCUUCGGGUCUAGUGGCGCACGGGUGCGUAACGCGUGGGAACCUGCCCUUAGGUUCGGAAUAACUCCCCGAAAGGGGUGCUAAUACCGGAUAAUGUCUUCGGACCAAAGAUUUAUCGCCUUUGGAUGUGCCCGCGUUGGAUUAGCUAGUUGGUAGGGUAAAAGCCUACCAAGGCGACGAUCCAUAGCUGGUCUGAGAGGAUGAUCAGCCACACUGGGACUGAGACACGGCCCAGACUCCUACGGGAGGCAGCAGUGGGGAAUAUUGGACAAUGGGCGAAAGCCUGAUCCAGCAAUGCCGCGUGAGUGAUGAAGGCCUUAGGGUUGUAAAGCUCUUUUACCCGGGAUGAUAAUGACAGUACCGGGAGAAUAAGCGCCGGCUAACUCCGUG
rnacentral:rRNA from 1 species